AGAGUUUGAUCAUGGCUCAGGACGAACGCUGGCGGCGUGCCUAAUACAUGCAAGUCGAGCGGACGAAUCGAAAGCUUGCUUUUGAUUCGUUAGCGGCGGACGGGUGAGUAACACGUGGGCAACCUGCCCUGUAGACGGGGAUAACACCGAGAAAUCGGUGCUAAUACCGGAUAACACGAAAUGUCGCAUGACGUUUCGUUGAAAGACGGCGCAAGCUGUCGCUACAGGAUGGGCCCGCGGCGCAUUAGCUAGUUGGUGAGGUAACGGCUCACCAAGGCGACGAUGCGUAGCCGACCUGAGAGGGUGAUCGGCCACACUGGGACUGAGACACGGCCCAGACUCCUACGGGAGGCAGCAGUAGGGAAUCUUCCGCAAUGGACGAAAGUCUGACGGAGCAACGCCGCGUGAGCGAAGAAGGCCUUCGGGUCGUAAAGCUCUGUUGUUAGGGAAGAACAAGUAACGCAGUAACUGGCGUUACCUUGACGGUACCUAACGAGAAAGCCACGGCUAACUACGUGCCAGCAGCCGCGGUAAUACGUAGGUGGCAAGCGUUGUCCGGAAUUAUUGGGCGUAAAGCGCGCGCAGGCGG
rnacentral:rRNA from 1 species